UACGUAGGGUGCAAGCGUUGUCCGGAAUUAUUGGGCGUAAAGAGCUCGUAGGCGGUUUGUCGCGUCUGUCGUGAAAGCUUGGGGCUUAACCCCAAGUCUGCGGUGGAUACGGGCAGACUAGAGGCAGGUAGGGGAGAACGGAAUUCCCGGUGUAGCGGUGAAAUGCGCAGAUAUCAGGAGGAACACCGGUGGCGAAGGCGGGUCUCUGGGCCGAUACUGACGCUGAGGAGCGAAAGCAUGGGGAGCGAACAGG
rnacentral:rRNA from 1 species